CCGGAACGAUGCUGCAUAUCGAGAUCGAACCCGUCUGGCGUUUUCACAAGGAAGGCAGCCCGCAGACCGCAGUCGUCAUGCUCGGUGUGCUCAAUGAAAUCCGCACUACCGGCAAGCUCACCAGCGCGGCACACCANCGCCGGGCUUUCCUAUCGGCAUGUCUGGAAUCUGGUCGAGCAAUGGUCCGAGUUCUUCGGCGUGCCGCUGGUCGAAACCCAUCGCGGCAAGGGCACGACGCUGACGGCUUUCGGCGAGAAGCUGGUAUGGGCCG
rnacentral:misc_RNA from 1 species